rnacentral:rRNA from 1 species
GAUGAACGCUGGCGGCGUGCCUAAUACAUGCAAGUCGAGCGAACGGACGAGAAGCUUGCUUCUCUGAUGUUAGCGGCGGACGGGUGAGUAACACGUGGAUAACCUACCUGUAAGACUGGGAUAACUUCGGGAAACCGGAGCUAAUACCGGAUAAUAUUUUGAACCGCAUGGUUCAAAAGUGAAAGACGGUCUUGCUGUCACUUAUAGAUGGAUCCGCGCUGCAUUAGCUAGUUGGUAAGGUAACGGCUUACCAAGGCAACGAUGCAUAGCCGACCUGAGAGGGUGAUCGGCCACACUGGAACUGAGACACGGUCCAGACUCCUACGGGAGGCAGCAGUAGGGAAUCUUCCGCAAUGGGCGAAAGCCUGACGGAGCAACGCCGCGUGAGUGAUGAAGGUCUUCGGAUCGUAAAACUCUGUUAUUAGGGAAGAACAUAUGUGUAAGUAACUGUGCACAUCUUGACGGUACCUAAUCAGAAAGCCACGGCUAACUACGUGCCAGCAGCCGCGGUAAUACGUAGGUGGCAAGCGUUAUCCGGAAUUAUUGGGCGUAAAGCGCGCGUAGGCGGUUUUUUAAGUCUGAUGUGAAAGCCCGCGGCUUAACCGUGGAGGGUCAUUGGAAACUGGAAAACUUGAGUGCAGAAGAGGAAAGUGGAAUUCCAUGUGUAGCGGUGAAAUGCGCAGAGAUAUGGAGGAACACCAGUGGCGAAGGCGACUUUCUGGUCUGUAACUGACGCUGAUGUGCGAAAGCGUGGGGAUCAAACAGGAUUAGAUACCCUGGUAGUCCACGCCGUAAACGAUGAGUGCUAAGUGUUAGGGGGUUUCCGCCCCUUAGUGCUGCAGCUAACGCAUUAAGCACUCCGCCUGGGGAGUACGACCGCAAGGUUGAAACUCAAAGGAAUUGACGGGGACCCGCACAAGCGGUGGAGCAUGUGGUUUAAUUCGAAGCAACGCGAAGAACCUUACCAAAUCUUGACAUCCUUUGACAACUCUAGAGAUAGAGCUUUCCCCUUCGGGGGACAAAGUGACAGGUGGUGCAUGGUUGUCGUCAGCUCGUGUCGUGAGAUGUUGGGUUAAGUCCCGCAACGAGCGCAACCCUUAAGCUUAGUUGCCAUCAUUAAGUUGGGCACUCUAAGUUGACUGCCGGUGACAAACCGGAGGAAGGUGGGGAUGACGUCAAAUCAUCAUGCCCCUUAUGAUUUGGGCUACACACGUGCUACAAUGGACAAUACAAAGGGCAGCGAAACCGUGAGGUCAAGCAAAUCCCAUAAAGUUGUUCUCAGUUCGGAUUGUAGUCUGCAACUCGACUACAUGAAGCUGGAAUCGCUAGUAACCGUAGAUCAGCAUGCUACGGUGAAUACGUUCCCGGGUCU